UUAAGCAUAUCAAUAAGCGGAGGAAAAGAAACCAACCGGGAUUGCCUUAGUAACGGCGAGUGAAGCGGCAAAAGCUCAAAUUUGAAAUCUGGUACCUUCGGUGCCCGAGUUGUAAUUUGGAGAGGGCAACUUUGGGGCCGUUCCUUGUCUAUGUUCCUUGGAACAGGACGUCAUAGAGGGUGAGAAUCCCGUGUGGCGAGGAGUGCGGUUCUUUGUAAAGUGCCUUCGAAGAGUCGAGUUGUUUGGGAAUGCAGCUCUAAGUGGGUGGUAAAUUCCAUCUAAAGCUAAAUAUUGGCGAGAGACCGAUAGCGAACAAGUACAGUGAUGGAAAGAUGAAAAGAACUUUGAAAAGAGAGUGAAAAAGUACGUGAAAUUGUUGAAAGGGAAGGGCAUUUGAUCAGACAUGGUGUUUUGUGCCCUCUGCUCCUUGUGGGUAGGGGAAUCUCGCAUUUCACUGGGCCAGCAUCAGUUUUGGUGGCAGGAUAAAUCCAUAGGAAUGUAGCUUGCCUCGGUAAGUAUUAUAGCCUGUGGGAAUACUGCCAGCUGGGACUGAGGACUGCGACGUAAGUCAAGGAUGCUGGCAUAAUGGUUAUAUGCCGCCCG
rnacentral:rRNA from 2 species